rnacentral:sRNA from 1 species
CCAAGAAUACAAAAUGCCUCUGGAAUAGUGAAGAAUAGACGAGUCUCAAUGUUUGACAUACACAUCAGACCUCCGACGCUGGGUCUGCUUCUUUAUCUACAUAAACCUUCUGCAUACAACUAAUUCAAGAAACACGAACAAAAAUUACACGGACACCUGCUUACAUUUUCAAACGGUUUUCCAAUCAAGUAAACAUCGACAAAUGAACUGUCAACAUAUUUUUUCAAUAAGAAACCUCUGGAAUAGUGAAGAAUAGACGAGUCUCAAUGUUUGACAUACACAUCAGACCUCCGACGCUGGGUCUGCUUCUUUAUCUACAUAAACCUUCUGCAUACAACUAAUUCAAGAAACACGAACAAAAAUUACACGGACACCUGCUUACAUUUUCAAACGGUUUUCCAAUCAAGUAAACAUCGACAAAUGAACUGUCAACAUAUUAUUUCAAUAAGAAACCUCUGGAAUAGUGAAGAAUAGACGAGUCUCAAUAUUUGACAUACACAUCAGACCUCCGACGCUGGGUCUGCUACUUUAUCUACAUAAACCUUCUGCAUACAACUAAUUCAAGAAACACGAACAAAAAUUACACGGACACCUGCUUACAUUUUCAAACGGUUUUCCAAUCAAGUAAACAUCGACAAAUGAACUGUCAACAUAUUAUUUCAAUAAGAAACCUCUGGAAUAGUGAAGAAUAGACGAGUCUCAAUGUUUGACAUACACAUCAGACCUCCGACGCUGGGUCUGCUACUUUAUCUACAUAAACCUUCUGCAUACAACUAAUUCAAGAAAUACGAACAAAAAUUACACGGACACCUGCUUACAUUUUCAAACGGUUUUCCAAUCAAGUAAACAUCGACAAAUGAACUGUCAACAUAUUAUUUCAAUAAGAUACCUCUGAAAUAGUGAAGACAAAUCUCAAUGGUUGACAUACACAAGACCUCCGACGCUGGGUCUGCUUCUUUAUCUACAUAAACCUUCUGCAUACUAAUUCAAGAAAUACGAACAAAAAUUACACGGACACCUGCUUACAUUAAGCAUGAAGAAACCACCACCACCAAUAACA